GUGAGGAAUUUUCCGCAAUGGGCGAAAGCCUGACGGAGCAAUGCCGCGUGAAGGAUGAAGGCCUAUGGGUUGUAAACUUCUUUUCUCAGAAAAGAAUUAUGACGGUAUCUGAGGAAUAAGCAUCGGCUAACUCUGUGCCAGCAGCCGCGGUAAGACAGAGGAUGCAAGCGUUAUCCGGAAUGAUUGGGCGUAAAGCGUCUGUAGGUUGUUUAAAAAGUAUUCUGUCAAAGAUUAGGGCUUAACCCUAGAUAGGCAGAAUAAACUUUUAAGCUAGAGUUUGGUAGAGGCAGAGGGAAUUCCCGGUGGAGCGGUGAAAUGCGUAGAUAUCGGGAGGAACACCAAAGGCGAAGGCACUCUGCUGGGCCAAUACUAACACUGAGAGACGAAAGCGAGGGGAGCAAAUGGGAUUAGAUACCCCUGUGUCC
rnacentral:rRNA from 1 species